GAAGGGUUUCGGCUCGUAAAACUCUGUUGUUAAAGAAGAACAUAUCUGAGAGUAACUGUUCAGGUAUUGACGGUAUUUAACCAGAAAGCCACGGCUAACUACGUGCCAGCAGCCGCGGUAAUACGUAGGUGGCAAGCGUUGUCCGGAUUUAUUGGGCGUAAAGCGAGCGCAGGCGGUUUUUUAAGUCUGAUGUGAAAGCCUUCGGCUCAACCGAAGAAGUGCAUCGGAAACUGGGGAACUUGAGUGCAGAAGAGGACAGUGGAACUCCAUGUGUAGCGGUGAAAUGCGUAGAUAUAUGGAAGAACACCAGUGGCGAAGGCGGCUGUCUGGUCUGUAACUGACGCUGAGGCUCGAAAGUAUGGGUAGCAAACAGGAUUAGAUACCCUGGUAGUCCAUACCGUAAACGAUGAAUGCUAAGUGUUGGAGGGUUUCCGCCCUUCAGUGCUGCAGCUAACGCAUUAAGCAUUCCGCCUGGGGAGUACGGCCGCAAGGCUGAAACUCAAAGGAAUUGACGGGGGCCCGCACAAGCGGUGGAGCAUGUGGUUUAAUUCGAAGCUACGCGAAGAACCU
rnacentral:rRNA from 2 species